GCAGUCGUGGCCGAGUGGUUAAGGCAACGGACUAGAAAUCCAUUGGGGUCUCCCCGCACAGGCUCGAAUCCUGUCGACUGCG
rnacentral:tRNA from 1 species